rnacentral:tRNA from 1 species
ACGGGUGUAGCUCAGUUGGUAGAGCACCGGUCUCCAAAACCGGGUGUCGUGAGUUCGAGUCUUACCUCCCGUGC